ensembl:lncRNA proline-rich protein 36-like
AUUUGGGUUUCAUUCUUCUUAAUAGAGAGCAGAAUGAGUCACAGUGCCUCUGUGUGUGUGUGUGUGUGUGUGUGUGUGUGUGUGUGUGAGUGAGUGUGUGUGUGAGAGAGAGAGAGAGAGAGAGUGUGUGUGUGUGUGUGUGAGUGAGAGUGUGUGUGUGUGUGUGUGUGUGUGUGUGUGAGUGAGUGUGUGUGUGAGAGAGAGAGAGAGAGAGAGUGUGUGUGUGUGUGUGUGAGUGAGAGUGUGUGUGUGUGUGUGUGUGUGUGUGUGUGAGUGAGUGUGUGUGUGAGAGAGAGAGAGAGAGAGAGUGUGUGUGUGUGUGUGUGAGUGAGAGUGUGUGUGUGUGUGUGUGUGUGUGUGUGUGAGUGAGUGUGUGUGUGAGAGAGAGAGAGAGAGAGAGUGUGUGUGUGUGUGUGUGAGUGAGAGUGUGUGUGUGUGUGUGUGUGUGUGUGUGUGAGUGAGUGUGUGUGUGAGAGAGAGAGAGAGAGAGAGUGUGUGUGUGUGUGUGUGAGUGAGAGUGUGUGUGUGUGUGUGUGUGUGUGUGUGUGAGUGAGUGUGUGUGUGAGAGAGAGAGAGAGAGAGAGUGUGUGUGUGUGUGUGUGAGUGAGAGUGUGUGUGUGUGUGUGUGUGUGUGUGUGUGAGUGAGUGUGUGUGUGAGAGAGAGAGAGAGAGAGAGUGUGUGUGUGUGUGUGUGUGUGUGUGUGUUCACCUGUCUGAGUGGGCGGGGCCACGGGCCGGUUCAGGUGCGGGGCCAUUUUCUCCUCAGUGUUUCUCUGAAUCAGUGUCGGACUCGAGCUCACAGUCAGCUGCUGCUGAAACACUGAAAUCAUGAAAUCACGCUGAUUUCAAUCUCUGCAGAUGAAAUCACUUUCGUUACAACCAUGAAGAAAGGAUCGUUUAAUUUCCUGGGUCGGAAGAAUCAAUCUCUAUUCGACACCAAUGUGGAAAUCAGGGACAUGGAUAAUGUGGAGCUGGUGUUGGACUCGGCUGCCAUCCCGGAGUCUGGAACCGCCAAAGUGCGCUCGCGUCCGACUGUCAAACACUUCAUGUCGUCUGAGAGUGCGCAAGGCUUUGCAGUUCCAACUCCCAAGGUACCGGUUCUUCCGCCCUUCAACGAGCCCAAGAUAAACGGUACAGGAAGUACUACAAACCUCUCAAAUGGAAGGAUGCUUUCUGUCCCUGACCUACUCGAGGGGGAAAUACUUAUACCUCCUCCGCCUAGCUCCGCUCCUCCACCCCCUCCAUCAUAUUCAGCCCCACCUCCUCCAUCAUUCAUCCCUCCCCCACCACAGUUCUUUGGCGAAAUGGACCCUUCUUUAGAUCGUGCAAGCCUGCAUCCCCCUCCAAUGGCACCCCCAAAACCGCCAUCACUUACCAGUUCCAAUUACAGUGCAGAUUUGGACCUUGCCUCCCUCAAACCUCCUCCAAUGCCUCCUCCAAAACCUCCAUCUGAAACUUCCAGCCUCAGAGGUUCCCUCUCUAGCCUGGAUGUCCAAGAUUUCCCAGAAUGCCCCAAGUUCAACCCACCGCCACCCCCUGUUCUUGCAAAAGCUCAGAAAGCAGCACCUCCCAAACCCAUUCGAAUGUCCUCCAUACCCAAUCUAGACAUCCAGUCCCAAACUCCUGUGCCACCCGUUGCUUCCAACCCAACACCAUCUAGCUUCAACCCCCAGAACACAGCAAAACUCUACAGCGUGCAGAAGAGCACACUACUUGGUGGACAGACAGAUAGGGAAAAAAAAGUCCAGUCCAUUCUGCUGCUGGAAGAUUCUGCUGGAAACACGGUUGGUGUUGUCAAUGGGAAUAGUGGGAAAAAUGCUGAAUCUUUCCAACCAGGGGUGCUACCAACCAAACCAGCCCGUCGGAACAGCUCCGCCACUCAUCUACAGGAUGACCAGCCAGACAUGGCACAAGCUCCAAGAGAACAAGCCAAGGUAGAGCCCAAAAUCAAUCCUGAGCCUGUAACACCACAAAACAUCCCCACUGAGAUACCAGCACCAAUCAAAGUCUCACCCAAAAUAGAGAAAAGGAUACCUGAUGUUAGGCAGGUGGUGACCCCAGUUGCGUCCCCUGGCAGGCCUCGCAAGUACAGCCCUAUCUUGAACCACCGACAUCUCAACACGCGGGGCGCAGACGGCUCAGUAAAGAAAGAGACCUCAACUUCACCUUUCGCCUUGCUGAUGGCUGCAAAGGAAAGAGAAAAGCAGAGAACUGCUCUGUCCCAACAGAACAGCAACUCAAGAGAUCCAGUCAAUUCUGUGAUCCAACCUAGUGUAGAAAAACCAAACUCCUUCACUGUCACUCCUCGAGACCCAACACCAGACAGUCCCAAUGCACAAUUAAAGUUGACCACAAACACGCAACCACUCGCCUCUCUAUCAACCAAAGUCGACGGUCCACAUGUGUCCUACUCAAAGCCAGAGCUAAGCUCAACCCCUCUACGAAGCCCAAUGAACAGCUCUGUUAGUGGUCUGGGUGUCCCUGUUAGAGAUGUGGAAAUUGGAGAAGACUUGGUCUUCAUUCCACCACCUCCUGAAUUUGCCAACUCGGACUCUGAGGAGGAACCUCCAGUUCCCCCACCAAGUCACCCCGCUCCUGCUCCACCUGUGAAAAGUGCCCCUCCACCUGCUAAAACCCUCUUACCUGCUACACCUGCUCCAAUCACCAACUCCCCCCCACCAAGUCACCCGGCUCCUGCUACCCCUGUAAAACCUGCCCCUCUACCUUCUAAACCCUUACCUAUUCCAAUCACCAAUGGCUCUCUGCCAAGCCACCCUGCUCCUGCUCCAACACCUGCCAAACCCUCCCUACCUCCAACACCUCCUCCUUCCACCAAUGGCCCCCUCAUUUCCCCCAAACCUAAACCACCCAGCUGUCCUCCCAAGGCCCCAGGACCUCCCCCAAAUAUCCAGCCCCAAUCCAAACCACCUGUUCAAACUAAACCCACUCAACCCAUUGCACAAGUGCCGCCAUCCGUCUCCGCUAGCCAAGCGACACUUCUCAGUAUCCUGCAGAAGAAGAUGCUAGAGAUGGACCCCAAGUUCUCGGCUGUCAAAGAGGUGGAGACCAACGGAGAUGACUGGAACUAUCCACUGUCUGAUGACGAGGCCACGUCGCCCCUUACCACAUACAAUCCUAUGACAAACCGCAGUGCCACCUUGCCGGCGCAAACUCGUGGAGUGGACAUGAAGGAGCUGGAAAGCAAAGCGGCCAAAAAAGCUCAAAAUUUGGCCACUUCGACUAAAUCCCAGAACAGUAACGGAUCAUCAACCAAACAGCAGUUUGGAAUGACGUUCACCGUGAGACCAGGAGCCAAACAACCAAUAACACCCGUUAUCAAAGACGGUUCGUCCUGAUCCAUUAUUCCAGAGACGUGCCUUACCUGUACAUAUGUACCUACCUGACAGAUAUUUAACGUUUUGCACCCGGUCUGUAAAGUAUUACUGUAACUUUCUACCUGGACGUUUCUUCAGCUGUCAGUAUAUUCAGGUUGUGCCGAACUCUUGCUGCUAAAAUCGAACAAUGGAGCAACUGUGCCUGUAUACGCUAUACACAGAAACUUGUUUUAAUGUCAAACCUUUUCAUUUAAUUCAUUAGUUUAAUCCAGUUUCUAAUCAGUUGUUUAAGAACAUCAGUUCUUAAUUGUAACUUCUGCACAAUAUUUUUUAAUGCCUUUAAUCAUUAAUGUACAAAAUGACUCUAUAGCUCUCGAUAUGAGAGCUUCUUUCAGUGGUGCUGGAUUUUUUUCCAGGUCAAAACAUUUUUACGAACUUAUAAAAAGUAUGCCUUAAAAUUUGAUCAAAUGGUUGCGAAGCCUUGAACACAUUACUGAUGGUUCUUCUUAAUGAAGAAAAAUGCUUUUGCUGCUUUUCAUAGCCGUUUUCUUAAUCAAAAAAAUAAAUAAUGCAAACUUUGUAUUUGCAUGAAUAUACUGGUUAAAAGUGUAUUUGAAGAAAUAAGCUAGCAUCUGCUACGAACAGGUUUAAUUGUGUGAUAUAUGCAAUAGGUCAAUAAUUGUGCUUCAUUAAUCCGCAAACUUGUUUGUAUGACUGUUCAUGUUAAAUUGUUAUUUUUGGACAUUUAACCUUUUGUUACCCCUGAGAGUAAGAAUAUAACCGCAAUACCGUCUAAUAAAGAUAUGCGAGAGCAUAAAUAUACAGAUGACGGAAACUUUAUUGAACAGUGAAUCUUGGAAAUGUGAGAAAUAUGUCAUUCAUACCCAUUUCUGUUAUUAAAAAACAAAUUUUCUGCAUUAUUUUUAUCCUCCUAUGAUUAUGCAUUAAACUCAUGAAUCAUUAUUUGAUGGUGACGGAACAACAGAAAUGGGGAUGAGCUGGAGGUUGGUGUGGUUUCCCAUGAUGCUCUAGGGCGCAGACACGCUGUGGUGGAGCACCUGAUGGCCCCAGCCCACGGUGGUCAACACGGCCGAGCCGCACGGGGCCCAACACACGCCGCGUACGAAAUCCUGGUGCCGCCGGUCCCUGAAGCUAAACACGGAGCACACGACAGACUCGGAUCAGUGCUCUCGAGAUAUAAACACACUUCUGGAUCGAUAGCACUUAGAUUACAAAUCACAAUGCCAUUAUUAUGAAUGUGUACUAGGAUAAUAUCGUUAUGGACAUAUACCAUUGAAAUAAUGUUUUUUUUAAGGACAUAAACAAUGUAAAUGCCAUGGUACAUGAAUAUGAAUACAAAAUGGAAUGUUAAGGUGUUUUAA